GCCUCUUUGGCCAAGUGGUAAGGCAUCGCACUCGUAAUGCGGGGAUCGUGGNGUUCAAUUCCCACAGGAGGCA
rnacentral:tRNA from 1 species